AACGAACGCUGGCGGCAGGCCUAACACAUGCAAGUCGAACGGGACCUUCGGGUCUAGUGGCGGACGGGUGAGUAACGCGUGGGAACGUACCCUUUGGUUCGGAAUAGCCCUGGGAAACUGGGAGUAAUACCGGAUACGGUCGAGAGACGAAAGAUUUAUCGCCGAAGGAUCGGCCCGCGUUGGAUUAGGUAGUUGGUGGGGUAAUGGCCUACCAAGCCGACGAUCCAUAGCUGGUUUGAGAGGAUGAUCAGCCACACUGGGACUGAGACACGGCCCAGACUCCUACGGGAGGCAGCAGUGGGGAAUCCUAGACAAUGGGGGAAACCCUGAUCUAGCCAUGCCGCGUGAUCGAUGAAGGCCUUAGGGUUGUAAAGAUCUUUCAGUGGGGAAGAUAAUGACGGUACCCACAGAAGAAGCCCCGGCUAACUCCGUGCCAGCAGCCGCAGUAACAC
rnacentral:rRNA from 1 species